UACGUAGGGUGCGAGCGUUUAAUCGGAAUACUGGGCGUAAAGCGUGCGCAGGCGGUCAUGCAAGACAGAUGUGAAAUCCCCGGGCUCAACCUGGGAACUGCAUUGGUGACUGCAAGGCUUGAGUGUGUCAGAGGGAGGUGGAAUUCCGCGUGUAGCAGUGAAAUUCGUAGAUAUUCGCAAGAACACCAGUGGCGAAGGCGGCUCACUGGCCCAUUACUGACGCUGAGGCACGAAAGCGUGGGGAGCAAACAGG
rnacentral:rRNA from 1 species